UGGGGAAUAUUGCACAAUGGGCGAAAGCCUGAUGCAGCAACGCCGCGUGAGUGAUGAAGGCCUUCGGGUUGUAAAGCUCUGUCUUUUGGGACGAUAAUGACGGUACCAAAGGAGAAAGCCACGGCUAACUACGUGCCAGCAGCCGCGGUAAUACGUAGGUGGCAAGCGUUGUCCGGAUUUACUGGGCGUAAAGGAUGCGUAGGCGGAUUUUUAAGUGAGAUGUGAAAACCCUAAGCUUAACUUGGGGACUGCAUUUCAUACUGGAAAUCUAGAGUGCGGGAGAGGAGAAUGGAAUUCCUAGUGUAGCGGUGAAAUGCGUAGAGAUUAGGAAGAACACCAGUGGCGAAGGCGAUUCUCUGGACCGUAACUGACGCUGAGGCAUGAAAGCGUGGGUAGCAAACAGGAUUAGAUACCCUGGUAGUCCACGCCGUAAACGAUGAGUACUAGGUGUAGGAGGUAUCGACCCCUUCUGUGCCGCAGUUAACACAAUAAGUACUCCGCCUGGGAAGUACGAUCGCAAGAUUAAAACUCAAAUGAAUUGACGGGGUCAUAGCUG
rnacentral:rRNA from 1 species